rnacentral:lncRNA from 1 species
AAUCAAUUGGAUUCAUUUUAUGGGUCAAUUGAACCUAUUGGCUAAUUAACAAGCUAGCACUUGUUGGCUAACUCAAGCUCCAAGCCAAAUUAGAUUUGGCUUAAGUCUUAUUUAAUUGGGCUUACCUAUUUAUCUAGGAUCUUGAUUGGAUUGAGCCUAAAGAGAGUAACUAAGUUCGGGUAUCCCCAAGCCUUAUCCAUGCCC